AAAUAAAAGAACGCCCCGCAAUAUGGGAUAGCAAAUGCGCUGAUUAUGCAGACAGAAAUAAAAAGUUAAAAUGUUGGGAGGAAAUGAUUAAUAUAUAUGCAAAGGAAGAUGAUACAUCGGAAGAAAAGAAAGAACUCGGUAAAGUACUUAUGAAAAAAUGGCGGAAUAUUAAAGAUAGUUUUGUAAAAGCUUCGAAAAAUAUGAAAAACAUGAAAAGCGGUUCAGGUGCCAAACAUAAAAGCCCAUAUACCUAUUAUAAUAUUUUAUUAUUCUUAAAGGACUCUACUAUGGUAAAUGAGACAGAGUCAGACAUUGCCAACAAUCUUUCCCAAGACCAUGAUGGCCCAUAUGAAACAUCACAGAAUUUAGUUAGUCAGAAAAAAAAGAAAAAAAGUAAUAAUGAAGACGUUAUUGGACAACAAUUAGUAUCAGUAUUGAACAAAAACUUGGAGUAUAAAAAAGAAAUGGAAAAUGACGAAGACAAGUUGUUUUUGUUAUCCCUUUUAAGAGAGUUCAAAAAAAUUCCAGAAUCCAAUAAAUUGGAAGCGAGAUGUGAAAUCAUAAGAGCUAUUAGAAAUGCUCAACAACCAUCAUUUCAUUAUAGUACGCAAUUUGAUCGAGGGUAUCGAAACCAUAUGUAUGAAAGUGAA